UCAUCUCAGCUGAUUUUAUGGGCUCUGAUCCAGGGAAGUACUUAAGCAUGUGCUUAGCUUUGAGUUUAUUGACAUUCCAAACUCAGGCCAGCAUCACACUUUUGAGAGCUGUCAAAAUAAUAACUAAUUUUAUUAUUGAAAUUGCUGUGCUUUGUGCUCUAAGGUUGACACAGAAAUCGGAUUAGUAUUGACCCUUCUAAAUAAGGGAUGUUAGAAAGUCAUUCAGCGCACAAAUGAUUUCUGAAAAACUGAAGAAACCAACUACAUAAAUACAUUUAAAAUGAAUUAUAUGCAGCUGAAUGUCACAUCUUAAUAAUGUAUCCAGCACACAAAUCUGUGUUCAGGAGAGUGAACUUAUGAAAACUUACAAGCCACAUAUGAUGUAUUACAUAUGCUGUAUUGCAUGUCAAUGCUUAUAUGUGUGUAUCUGUGUCUGUUUGUACAUAGCUGCGUAUCCCAAUGAAAUGUAUAAAUCUGCCCUGUCAUCUGUAUAUUGUAGAUCAUUAUAUUCAAAAUGGAGAGGAAAAAAAUGAGUCUUUCUGACCCCUUAUGUAUUUUGACUCUGACUAAAAUUCUGAGAAUUGUCUGAACAAGAUUGUGCCCAUCUGUUUUCACACUAGGAAAAUGAUAGCAACUUGUGUCUUGUCUUGUCGGUUGGUUAUUUAAUAAAUGUCAGCAGUUUAAUUGGUCUACAGCAAUUGUGCUACUGCUGGUAGUGUUCCCUUAUAUACCAUGAGAACAUGCCAAUGUAUACUGGUGUGUUUAUAGUGAAGAGAACAUUUUCAGAAUGAACUUAACUGAAGUGUUCUCUAGCUAAUGUAGAAGGAAAAACUAGAAAAUAACUUUAAAUGAAAUGUUCCUCAGGCACAGAUAUGAGCCUUAUUUGGCCAUAUAUGGCAAGACCUAAAUUUGAACACAGCCUUCAUAUGAGCGUGAGAGCCAGGAACAGAUUGGCUUCCUGGCGAAAAGUAAGCGAAUUACUUCAGCAGCCUUUCUUCAUUAUGUUGUUCCUGAUGCCUUAAACUUUGUUAUAGUGAUAAUUGCUGCUUCUGGAUCUGUAAAUCUUCUCAACCCUGGAUCAAGACUAGAUUUUCACUCAGCAGAUGGGCCUGGCAAAAGCUGGCACUCUCCUUCAUCUCCCGCCUUGCAUCCCUGCUGUGCACUUUCAGUCCUGGACAGGUCAAAUCUGAGUUUUAUCCUUAUGGCCCGCAGUAUGGCAAACUGUUGCACGUAUAUACAACAGAGUCUGUUUCCAAGCAAUUUCCAAGGGCCAGAAGAAACAAACCAAGCCAACCAGGCAAGCACGUUUUCAAAUAUUAAACAGAAAUGUAUCCAAAGGGAAAGACAGAAAUUCUUUACAAGACAAAGGAGCUGCUUCUUUAUCCCAAUCUGUCUUCCGAAUGCAAAAUGUAAGGUUAUGAAUGAGAUACAAUCCAAAGGCUUGGUUGCCUUUAGUACAGAUGUUUCUGAGUUAACUUAGCAAGUUUGGAUCUGAAGAGCUGCAGUUACCAAGUGUUUAUUAAGAAUUUUAUCCGACAUAAUGUAGCUAGUACCAUUGUGCAAUGUGCUGUUGGAGAACCCGAGUACAGUCUUAGUCUCACCUAGCUAGAGAAAAUGGCUCUAGGAGGGACCCUGAUGAGUCCUCUAUCCUUCCUCUACUGCCCUUCCUCCCUUCCUCCUUAACCAAUUUGACCCACUUGUUCCUGAACAGGAUGUGAUGAGCUCUCCAGAGCCACCUUGCGCAGUCACUUCUAGUGCUUCACACUCUUUGCUGCAGCACUUUAUCUAUUGUCUAACCUUGUGUCAGUUUAAGCCCAUUACUUUUUAUCUUAUUCGGGGUGAACGCAAAGAGCAGUGUACUUCAUAAGAAUUUCUUACAUAUCUGAAAACUGUUAGUCUGUUUCUUUUCUCUAGGGAAAAUGAUAUUUAAGAGUAACACAAAAAGAAAUAAUAAUAGUAAUAAUAACUAUCAAAUCCUAUUCACUGGCAUAUCUUUCAAAGUUAUCUACUUUGUCUAUCUUGUGCCCUCACCAUGGGAUGGAGUAGUAAUCUGAAUUGAAGUACAGGCUCCUAUCUGAUUGGCUUUCCAGAAUAUAAAUGUCAUUUGCAGUGCAAGAAGAACCCCCACAAACCUGCCCAGAAGUAUCCCCAGAGCCCUGUCCACCCUGGCAGAGAGCUUUUCACAGAAUCACAGAAUUGUAGGGGCUGGAAUGGACCUCUAGAGAUCAUCGAGUCCAACUCCCCUGCCAAAGCAGGCUCCCUAGACCAGGUUGCACAGGUAGGCAUCCAGGCAGGUCUUGAAUAUCAUCAGAGAAGGAGACUCCACAACCUCUCUGGGCAGCCUGUUCCAGUGCUCUGUCACCCUCACUGUGAAGAAGUUCUUAUGCACAUUUGUGCAGAACUUCCUAUGCUUCAGUUUGUGGCCAUUUCCCCUUGUCCUAUCGCCACACACCACUGAAAAGAGUCUGGCCUUGUCCCUUUGCCUCCCGCAUCUUGGAUAUUUAUAGAUAUUGAUCAGAUUCCCUCUGAGUCUUCUCAAGGCUGAACAGGCCCAGGUUGCUCAGCCUUCCCUCAUGAGUGAGAUGCUCCAGACCCUUUAUCAUCUUUGUGACCCUUUAAUGGACUCUCUCCAGGAGAUCCCUGUCUUUUUUGUACUGGGGAGCCCAGAACUGGACACAAUACUCCAGGUGAGGCUGGACAAGGGCAGAGCAGAGGGGGAGGAUCACCUCCCUUAACCUUCUGGCCACUCUCUUUUUAAUGCACCCCAGGAUGCCAUUGGCCUUCUUGGCCACAAGGGCACACUGCUGGCUCAUGGCCAAUCUGUUGUCCACCAGGACCCCCAGGUCCCUCUCUGCAGAGCUCCUCUCCAGCAGGUCAUCCCUCAACGCGUACUGGUGCUUUUACUCCUCUCCUGGUGUUUGCCUUGAGAACAGCAAGAUGUGAGUGCCACCUGGUGCUCGUAGUGCUGCCUGGCAAGGAAACAAAUGCCACAGAAAAUAAAGAGGAUGUGGAACUUUCUGCA
rnacentral:lncRNA from 1 species